UGUUCAUAUUAUGUUAUUUAUGAUUCGUUUUUGUCUUUAUACUAGAACUUUUGAAUUUAAAACACAAACAGUAAAACAUUAAGGGUAUACAUGGUACACAGCGGUAAACAUGAGGUUAAAAAUACGCGAAGUAACAUUCAAACCGGGCUGUUAAAAGAAUCAAUUCGAUGUUUAAGUUUUUUAAAAACAAAACUUUAAAGAAGCCAAGAUGAGACGUUCUUUGCUUAAAACAAACAAAACAGUAACUUGUGUGUUGGAAAUGUUAGCAGCUAGCAAGUGUGUCUCUGCUAUUUUAAAUGAUACACAGACGAUCUUUUGUUGUUUAAAAGCUCAUUGCUUUAGUUCGGGUAGAUGCUGCUUAUUUUUCAAGACGGUUUUAAUAGCUUUAUAUUGAUUUGUAACAAAGCCAGCUUCACUUUGAGAGAACCUAGAUGCUAAUUGUAAAGAAGCUUGGAUUCAUAAUAUAUUUUAACGUAAUAUGUUUGCUGUUCUUCAUCUUUUUAAAUAUGAAGUCUAUCCAUGUUUGUGUUUACAGAGGUCAUGUACACUGUGGUCAGCUUUGUGGACGCUGAAGAGGUUUCUGGGUAAAGAUGAUAGAAAUAUAAUGAAGUAACAGUGAAAGCUAAAACAUCAGACUGAUCCAGACACUGAAGAAAUUUAUGUCACUGCAAUCUGGCCAAAAUGAUACAACUAUAUUGAAGUAGCCUACUGUAAUGAAGCUGCAGAACGUCACAGAGACUCUGAGGACAUCAACACAGAAAAUCUAGGCUCCAAAGAGAUGUCUGUCCAGAUGAGGGUGCAUCAACGUUACCUUUGCUGACAAGUACAUGCUUUUAGCAGUUAACUUAACUCAAACCAUUUAAGGAAAUCGGUUGCCUUAAACCUUUAAGUUUAAAAAAAAACAUACAUUUGAGUACUGUGAACUUAAGUCUUGUGCAAUUAUGCACUUAUAUUUAGGUAGUGUGAACUUAAACAAAUUGAGUCACAUGCAGUUAAGCAUUUAUAUUUAAGUUCACAGUACUCAAAUCUAUGCGUUUUAAAACUUGAAUGGUUUAAUGCAACCGGUUUUCUUAAAUGUGAGAAAUUACAGUGUUACAGUGAGAAAUGUUUGAAUAAUUCCAAGACAGAGCUCUGUGAUUAAUUCUACACUGCAAAAAAAUCACUUUCUAACACUUUUUAUCUUGUUUUCAGUAGAAAAACUAAAAAUUCUUAAAUCAAGAUGUAUUUUCUUGAUGAGCAAAAUUACCUUAGAAAAUAUGUCUAGUUUUUAGACAAAAAUAUACAAUUGAAGAUAAUUUGUGCCUAAACAAGAAAAAAUAUCUAACAAUGGGGUGAGAAAAUUGUGUUUUAAUUAAGUUUUUAAGGUAAAAGAAAACGUAAGAUUUUUUUCUCACACUAUUGGAAGAUAUUUUUGCUUGUUUUAAGCACACAUUCACUUAAUGUAUGUGUAUUUUAUUUAUUUUUGUCUAAAACUAGACUUAUUUUCUUGGGUCAUUUUGUUCCUCAAGAACAAGCAUUUUAAUUUAAAUAAUAUUUGUACUGAAAACAAGACAAAAAUACUAUGUAGGAGUCAUUUUUUGCAGUGUAGGACUGAUUUCUUAAGAGCAAGAUCAAUAUAGUUGUUGUUCAUUUUAUUUAGAUAUUUACUACAUUAAAGUGGCAGCUGGUGACUUCUUUUUUUUUGUGAGCACUCGAUGCGAAGUUUGUCACAACAUGUAUAUAGCCCGUCAUUUGUGUGUUCCCAAUUUCAAAAUAUGUGUUCUGCGUGUAUGUGCAUCACCUGUUUUGACUAAACACAUCACGUGUUUAGUCAAAACACGUGAUGCACAUACACGCAGAACACAUAUUUUGAAAUUGCAACCCUCGGAUGAGCAGUCACGAGCCGCCACUUCUACAUUACAUUGUACUGCUUUGAAUGUAGUUUUCAUUGUUGCUUUUAUUUUGUUUUAUUUUACUCUAAUAUUGCUUUCUCUGUCUGUAUAUUUAUGAGUUUAAAUAGUGUUGUUUAUGUAUGCAACUUUUAAUAUUUGUGUAUUAUAUUAUUUUGUGAUUGUGACAAUUGUGGAUUGUUCAGGUUUUUUUUAAAUAAACGUUUCAAACUCAA